rnacentral:rRNA from 1 species
AUGUCAGGGUCAUCGCUGGUUUGUUUGAGAAGACGGUGCCGGAUUGUGCAGCACGGAGUGCCAUGGAGCAGACCGUGGUGUGCAACUAGUGCCCUUGAGUGUGUGGGUGUGGGUGGCUGGUUUCCCACGCAACACAAUCACGAGGUGUUGUGCUAGAAUGUUAGAGGUCUUAACAAUCCAGCUAAAAGGAGUGCGGUGAGAGAAUUCAUAGCGUCGGUUGGUGCUUCCAUUGUUUGCUUGCUUCAAUCAGAAUUGGCAACGGUUGAUAGGUACACGGUGGCUCAAUGUGUGGGGCUGGAUUUUGAUGGUUUUUCUCAUUUGCCGGCUCAGGAUACUAGGGGCGGCAUUAUUCUUGCUUGGAAGUCGGUGUGUGUGCAAAUUGAUCACGUGGUGUCGCAGGGCUAG